rfam:Mus musculus chromosome 18, GRC primary reference assembly.
CACCCCAGGCAAUGGACAAAGAGAAACCUUGUUGGUGGUGUUGUUCUUAUACAAGUCAGGACAGAGCAGAUGGCAGUCCUUCGUUCAUCCUAGCUUGAUGCCUGGCUUGGUGGCCAAAGUUGUUUUCUGCCUAGGACUCAUAA